rnacentral:rRNA from 1 species
UACGUAGGGUGCGAGCGUUAAUCGGAAUUACUGGGCGUAAAGCGUGCGCAGGCGGUUGUGCAAGACAGAUGUGAAAGCCCCCGGGCUCAACCUGGGAACUGCAUUUGAAACUGGCGGGCUUGAGUGUGGCAGAGGGGGGUGGAAUUCCGCGUGUAGCAGUGAAAUGCGUAGAGAUGCGGAGGAACACCGAUGGCGAAGGCAGCCCCCUGGGCCAACACUGACGCUCAGGCACGAAAGCGUGGGGAGCAAACAGG